GAUGAGGAGGAGGAGGAGGAGGAGGAAGAAGAUGAAGAAGAUGAAGAUAACGCCCACCUGCCUCCGUUUUCCCAUGAAAAUCGUUACCGCACCAACGUCCAAGGGCUGACGGCGGUGAUGGUGAAAGUGUUGGUCUUAGUAGUGUUGGUGGUGUUGGUGGUGGCGGCGGGUAGGUACGCGGCCAUAUCGGGUAUUCAAGUCCAUCGAAACAUUCUGUUGAUCGAAAAAACUCGGUUAUUGCAGGGUCAUCAAGUAUCGGAUGCAGCGUCAGCUACAACGUAUCCAGGGUGGUAUCCAGUGAAUGUUUGCACGUGGGGUUUAGCCGCUCUUUAACGCCCCGCCGUCGAUUCCUCGACACGUUUAUUUUAGGGUUGAUGUGAGGCGAUUCGUUUGCUGCUCGCAGAGCAUGCUGAGAUACUUGCGCGAUUUGAGGUCUUUUUCAUGGAGACUGUAGCCAACUGAGCAAUCGGGGGCAUUCGCUUCGAUUCAUGCAUGCGACGUUGGUGAUAAACAGAGCGCCAUUCAAGUUUGGUUGAGGCGAGACUCCUCAAGGAGCACUUUGCUUGGAUACAUGGACCGAUGAAGGGAGUGUGAAGAAUGUGAAAUCUUUUAUGGAGUUUUUGACCUUCGGCAAUCGCGCACCUGGAAAUUUCGAGUGCGAUGCACGAAUCCUACCUGAGCACAGCAUUGCGGGUGCAGAAGCCGUGCACGAGCACCAACUGAUGCCUUGGUGCGGUUGUCAUCGGGGAAGCGCUUCCUGAAACGCUAUUUUUGACCAAAUUCAUCGCACGAGCAUGUGAGCGUAAGAGCGUUUGGUAGCUAUUGUACAAGACGCAUACCCAUGACAGCGCAAGACGGUAUCUUUUGAUUGGGUAGCAUCAUAAGCGGGAGAGGGUAUCCCAGUUUGCGAACUGGUCAUCAGCAUGCGGGUUUUCAACUUUUCUUACGGGCCAGUCUUGGCCGCUGCAGCGAUAGAACGAUGCUCAUGCACUCGUGUCAGGUGAAAAAGGCGAACAGAACUUGUCGCUCUGUUCAGGUCUUUCGAUAUCUUUCCGGACUCGUGUUUUUUUUCGUGCAUCGCAUGGAUAUUCAACGUGCUGCAAUCAAGGUGUGUGGAUUCAUGCGUAGUUUUAGGAUGCUGGGUCGUCAGUUGGGCGUGGCCUCUUCCACGCUCUCCCGCUUAAGGUUUUUACGGAAAUGGAAUCAAGACGAUUCGCGAAGCUAUUGAACAGUUGUUCGACAAGUAACCGGUAUCUUUGACCGACCCGUAUCAACAAGCAUCCGUUCUCCCGCUUGCCUUACGAUCGACAUGCUUACAUUACGGAUUCUUCAAGUUUUCGAAUCUUUUUUUCUCCCUAUGCCAGCCAUGAGCGCAGCGACUCGAACUGUUGGAUUGUCGACCGGGCACCGUCGACACCGACGCUUGGGUUUCGUUCACGGGCUCAUGCUGAAGGCUCACUGAGCCAGUCACGACAAGAGGAUGGAUGUGCUUCAGGAGGUGAAUCCCGCGCUGUCUCUCUCUAGCGAAGAAACGGGAAUCGGCACCAGCGUGGUACGCUUUGUGGAGUACGCUACGAGAGCUUGCUUUCAAGUACAGAAUCUUCCCGAGCUCGGGCUUGAGUCAUCGCAGUGCUUGCUUCGUGUGUGCAGCGCGGUGACGGACGCUGGACACGAAUGCAGCGUUGACGGGUCGAGAUUUCGCGACUUGUUCUCCAGCGUGAGUGCUCCUUCCGGUCCCUGUCUCACGAUGAGCAACAUCGGGUCCCAGAAAAAUCCGCUCUCGAAUGAAGCAGCGUGGACGUGUGUGAGUCUGUGUAUCUGUGUGUCAGUAUGUGUCUGUGUCUGUAUGUGUGUCUCUGUGUGUGUGUGUGUGUGUGUUUGAGCGCGCACAGCAGUCAGCAUGCUCGCCGAGUGUAUCGCCUAGCGGAAGACCGUGUUCAUCGCGUACGGCACUGGGCACGGAAAUGGGGUCGUCCCCUGAGGUGAGCGUCCAGUGCAUGUGGCAGGCAGCACUCGGGGAAGCAGGUGCCCAGGACGUACGGGCAUACCCGACCAUGGUCACGUGUCAGUACUGUGAAGGGCGCAACGAGGAUCUACACGAAGCAAGUCGUGCAAACGGCAACCGAGGCGUAGAACGCAACUACUGUCUUUGCGCGAAUUCUGUCUGAAACAGCCGGAAGCGAUGAAUUCGGGACUUGAACACCGGCGACAGCAUUCUGAGACUGCUGACAACGCAGCUGGAGGAACAGGGGAAACCGGCGUAUGGCGAGCCAGAGAAUAUACAGAGAGAGAGAGAAGGGAAACAGUCGCAGAAACAUCCCGUAAAGGCCGACGU